rnacentral:rRNA from 1 species
UACAGAGGUGGCGAGCGUUGUUCGGAUUUAUUGGGCGUAAAGGGUCCGUAGGCGGUUUGGAAAGUCAGAUGUGAAAGCCCACAGCUCAACUGUGGAACUGCAUUUGAAACUUCCAGACUAGAGUGUGAGAGGGGUGAAGGGAAUUCCCGGUGUAAGGGUGAAAUCUGCAGAGAUCGGGAAGAACACCAGUCGCGAAGGCGCUUCACUGGCUCACUACUGACGCUCAGGGACGAAAGCUAGGGGAGCAAACGGG